GAGUUUGAUCGUGGCUCAAGACGAACGCUGGCGGCGUGCCUAAUACAUGCAAGUAGAACGCUGAGGUUUGGUGUUUACACUAGACUGAUGAGUUGCGAACGGGUGAGUAACGCGUAGGUAACCUGCCUCAUAGCGGGGGGAUAACUAUUGGAAACGAUAGCUAAUACCGCAUAAGAGUAAUUAACACAUGUUAGUUAUUUAAAAGGAGCAAUUGCUUCACUGUGAGAUGGACCUGCGUUGUAUUAGCUAGUUGGUGAGGUAAGGGCUCACCAAGGCGACGAUACAUAGCCGACCUGAGAGGGUGAUCGGCCACACUGGGACUGAGACACGGCCCAGACUCCUACGGGAGGCAGCAGUAGGGAAUCUUCGGGCAAUGGACGGAAGUCUGACCGAGCAACGCCGCGUGAGUGAAGAAGGUUUUCGGAUCGUAAAGCUCUGUUGUUAGAGAAGAACGUUGGUAGGAGUGGAAAAUCUACCAAGUGACGGUAACUAACCAGAAAGGGACGGCUAACUACGUGCCAGCCGCCG
rnacentral:rRNA from 1 species